CUCACGUCGACGGGUGAGUAAUGCAUAGGAAUCUGCCCGGUAGUGGGGGAUAACUUGAGGAAACUCAAGCUAAUACCGCAUACGCCCCAAGGGGGAAAGCAGGGGAUCUUCGGACCUUGCGCUAUCGGAUGAGCCUAUGUCGGAUUAGCUAGUUGGUGAGGUAAUGGCUCACCAAGGCCGCGAUCCGUAGCUGGUCUGAGAGGAUGAUCAGCCACAUCGGGACUGAGACACGGCCCGAACUCCUACGGGAGGCAGCAGUGGGGAAUAUUGGACAAUGGGCGAAAGCCUGAUCCAGCCAUGCCGCGUGUGUGAAGAAGGCCUUCGGGUUGUAAAGCACUUUCAGCGAGGAAGAACGCUUGUGGGUUAAUACCCCGCAAGAAGGACAUCACUCGCAGAAGAAGCACCGGCUAACUCCGUGCCAGCAGCCGCGGUAAUACGGAGGGUGCAAGCGUUAAUCGGAAUUACUGGGCGUAAAGCGCGCGUAGGCGGCUUGAUAAGCCGGUUGUGAAAGCCCCGGGCUCAACCUGGGAACGGCAUCCGGAACUGUCAGGCUAGAGUGCAGGAGAGGAAGGUAGAAUUCCCGGUGUAGCGGUGAAAUGCGUAGAGAUCGGGAGGAAUACCAGUGGCGAAGGCGGCCUUCUGGACUGACACUGACGCUGAGGUGCGAAAGCGUGGGUAGCAAACAGGAUUAGAUACCCUGGUAGUCCACGCC
rnacentral:rRNA from 1 species